rnacentral:lncRNA from 1 species
GACGGGGUUUUCCGCCAUUCGCUCUCGCUGGCAUCUCUCUGGCUCUGCGCGCCCUGCGCUCGCUCGCUGCCUAAAGAUGUAAACAAUAGAGCACGCUCUGCGCUUUGGCGGCGCCGGAGCUCUGGCUCCUAAAGGCGCUGGGCGCUUGCUCUCCUGGCUCCCAAAGAUGUAAGCAAUAAAGUUUUGCCGCAGAAGAUUUUGGUCUGUGGUGUUCUUCCUGGCCGGUCGUGAGAACGCGUCUAAUAACAAUUGGUGCCGAAACCCGGGACGAGAAAAAACUCGGGACCGGCGCAGGGAAGAUCCCUCAUUCCAGAACCAGAACUGCGGGUCGCGGUGAUAGAGGUUCCCGUAAAGCAGACUGUUAAGAAGGAUUCAACUGCAUGAAUUCAGAACUUUUCAGCUGGGGAACGGCGGUAACCCGUAAGUAUAGCUUUACGAGGUAAGUCUGAUCUUGAACUUUCUAAGGAAAUUCAGGACAGUCUAUCAGAAGUAAAGUGGAAAAUAGCUUUAUAAGGUAUGUUUGGCCUUGAACUUUCUCUAGUGUUAGAAGCCCUUUUGUUCCUUUUCACAUGUUAUCAAGUGGUUAAGGCAGGGCGGAUUCUGGAUGAAGUUCAGGACAAUCUAUCAGAAGUAAAGCGGGGAGAGAGAAUAGGAGCAAAGAGAAAAUAUGGUACACAAAAUAAGUAUACAGGCCUUUCCAAGGGUCUUGAACCUGAGGAAAAGUUUAGGUCAGGUAAGAAUACCUGGGGAGAGAUUAGAAGGAAGGAGAAGGAAAAAGAAAAGAAAAAAGAUCAAUUAGAGAAGCCAGUUCUUAGUAGUUCUGAAUCAGAUGAAAAGGCUAUUAGGGCCUGGAAGGCGCUCUCCCGAGCAGGUGAAGCCACUGGACAAUAAUGACAGAGGCAGGCUCUUACAGCCUACAAGGUCUUAUUGUCCACCCUAGAGUUGUAGAUCAAGAUUAUAAAGGGGAACUUCAGGUUCUCUGUUCUUGUCCUCAAGUUGUCUUUUCUAUAUCACAAGGGGACAAAAUAGCUCAACUAAUAAUUUUGCCAAGCCUACAUGGCUGUUUUUUCUUCCUCUGGUAUUCCUAGAGCUGCAAGAGGGAUUGGUUCUACUAGAAAUGAUUCUGAUUACUUAAUAAUGCCUUUAGAUUGUUGUCAAAUUUUAUCUACUCACGUAGGGGUAAACCCUCGUGGCGUCAGGCCAUUACAGGUCUGACAAAUGGAUGUCACGCAUAUUUCCUCCUUUGAGAGAAAUCAAUAUUUACAUGUUUAGAAGAAACCCACUUAAAAAUGGGAUUGUGGUAUAUACUGAUGGAUCAAAAACUGGCAUAGGUGCCUAUGUGGCUAAUGGUAAAGUGGUAUCCAAACAAUAUAAUGAAAAUUCACCUCAAGUGGUAGAAUGUUUAGUGGUUUUAGAAGUUUUAAAAACCUUUUUAGAACCCCUUAAUAUUGUGUCAGAUUCCUGUUAUGUGGUUAAUGCAGUAAAUCUUUUAGAAGUGGCUGGAGUGAUUAAGCCUUCCAGUAGAGUUGCCAAUAUUUUUCAGCAGAUACAAUUAGUUUUGUUAUCUAGAAGAUUUCCUGUUUAUAUUACUCAUGUUAGAGCCCAUUCAGGCCUACCUGGCCCCAUGGCUCUGGGAAAUGAUUUGGCAGAUAAGGCCACUAAAGUGGUGGCUGCUGCCCUAUCAUCCCCGGUAGAGGCUGCAAGAAAUUUUCAUAAUAAUUUUCAUGUGACGGCUGAAACAUUACGCAGUCGUUUCUCCUUGACAAGAAAAGAAGCCCGUGACAUUGUUACUCAAUGUCAAAGCUGCUGUGAGUUCUUGCCAGUUCCUCAUGUGGGAAUUAACCCACGUGACAUUCGACCUCUACAGGUCUGGCAAUUGGAUGUUACACAUGUUUCUUCCUUUGGAAAACAAAUAACUCAGCUGGGAUGUGAACAAAAGUUUCCGGGAUUGUGUGUUAUUUCCAUUCAGUAUGUUAAAUUUACUAGGACAGCUAAUUUGUCAAAAAGUCUUUUUCAGUAUAUGUUACAGAAUUGGAUGGCUGAAUUUGAACAGAUCCUUCGAGAAUUGAGACUUCAGGUCAACUCCACGCGCUUGGACCUGUCGCUGACCAAAGGAUUACCCAAUUGGAUCUCCUCAGCAUUUUCUUUCUUUAAAAAAUGGGUGGGAUUAAUAUUAUGUGGAGAUACACUUUGCUGUGGAUUAGUGUUGCUUCUUUGAUUGGUCUGUAAGCUUAAGGCCCAAACUAAGAGAGACAAGGUGGUUAUUGCCCAGGCGCUUGCAGGACUAGAACAUGGAGCUCCCCCUGUUAUAUGGUUAUCUAUGCUUAGGCAAUAGGUCGCUGGCCACUCAGCUCUUAUAUCUCACGAGGCUAGACUCAUUGCACGGGAUAGAGUGAGUGUGCUUCAGCAGCCCGAGAGAGUUGCAAGGCUAAGCACUGCAAUGGAAAGGCUCUGCGGCAUAUAUGAGCCUAUUCUAGGGAGACAUGUCAUCUUUCAUGAAGGUUCAGUGUCCUAGUUCCCUUCCCCCAGGCAAAACGACACGGGAGCAGGUCAGGGUUGCUCUGGGUAAAAGCCUGUGAGCCUAAGAGCUAAUCCUGUACAUGGCUCCUUUACCUACACACUGGGGAUUUGACCUCUAUCUCCACUCUCAUUAAUAUGGGUGGCCUAUUUGCUCUUAUUAAAAGGAAAGGGGGAGAUGUUGGGAGCCGCCCCCACAUUCGCCGUCACAAGAUGGCGUUGACAUCCUGUGUUCUAAGUGGUAAACAAAUAAUCUGCGCAUGUGCCAAGGGUAUUUACGACUACUUGUACUCUGCUUUUCCCGUGAACGUCAGCUCGGCCAUGGGCUGCAGCCAAUCAGGGAGUGAUGCGUCCUAAGCGAAGGAUCACUCCUCCUUAAAGGGGACGGGGUUUUCCGCCAUUCGCUCUCGCUGGCAUCUCUCUGGCUCUGCGCGCCCUGCGCUCGCUCGCUGCCUAAAGAUGUAAACAAUAGAGCACGCUCUGCGCUUUGGCGGCGCCGGAGCUCUGGCUCCUAAAGGCGCUGGGCGCUUGCUCUCCUGGCUCCCAAAGAUGUAAGCAAUAAAGUUUUGCCGCAGAAGAUUUUGGUCUGUGGUGUUCUUCCUGGCCGGUCGUGAGAACGCGUCUAAUAACA